CCCCUUUUCCUUUUCAGCCCUGGCGGAUUUGAAAGGGGCAAGACAGGCAGUUUAGAAAGAAACAAGCCUGACUCCUCGCUGAGUGCUCUUUGCCCUGGCCGAUGUAGAUACGGGCUGCUUUCAUUUUACGCAAUCGGUGAGGAAACUAAGGCACAUCUAAGAAGAUGAUCUGCCCAAGGCCACAUUAUGAGUUUAUCAACAAAAAUCUUCAGCCCUUCCAGAAUUGGGGAUGCUGAAUGUGACUUUAAGCCCUCCCUGAAGCCUUGGCAUGGAGUUCCUAGGAAGAACACUGACCUGGAGCAUGAGCACUGCCCUGAAACUGCAAUGUAAGGAAGACCAUCUGACCUGUAGGACAACGUGAGACAACAAGGAGAACCAAGGCAACCCUGCUGACAGCCAGAACCAACCACCGAACCUGCGUGUGAGGGCAUCUUGGACCUUCCAGCCUACCUUCCAGUUGAAUGCAGUGGCAUGAGUGAGCCAAGUGUCACCAGGAGAGGAACCAUCCAGUAAACCCGUAAACCAUGAAAGAUAAGAAACUGCUGUUGUUUUAUACCAACAACUUCGGGGGUGACUGGUUACAGAGCAAUACAUAACUAUUAGAAUACUUCACAAGAUUCAUUAAAAUUAUCAAAAGAAUGAUGGUCAAGAAAGGGUAAGGAUCAAGGACUAAGUCUUGGACACUCUGGCAUAUAGCCAAUAUCUGUAUUACAUGCAUAUUAUAUUGAAAUUUGGCUAUAUUAUUGGAAAAACAUGUUUAGUUAAAGACAGCUAUGGAAAUGAUUAUCUAGAAUUCCAAAAUGUUAAGCAAAUGUGAUGAUUUACAGUGAUAAUGUAACCCUGUGUUUGCAUCUGUUGCCUCACAAACCCUAACGUGUUUGCAAAUGGGAAAACAUACAACGUUUAUUGUUGAAAUUUAUAUCUAUCAAUCUAUCUCUAUAUAUCUAUAUAGAUAUAUAUAUCUCACAGUGACUGAUACUAUAGUGUGUAUACUACAAACUCUGUUGUAGAAAACCAAGGAACUAAUGAUAAACAAGGAGAUGUGGCUGUAUGCCAUAAUGAAA